UUUUUUGGGGAAUCUGAAGGGUUUGGUGCAGAAAACCAAGGAUAUGACAUUUUGGACACUCUUGUUCGUGCAUGUUUAUUAGAAGAGGUGGAAGAUGAUGAAGUAAAAAUGCAUGACGUUAUUAUUGUGGUGCACUUGCAGCAAGAUAACCAGACCGGUAUGUGCUCUUAUAUUAACUAUAUUGACUGGAUUUGUUAGUGUGCGCAUUUUUUUGUGUAUACUCACUUUUGUAUUUAUGCAUAUUAACAUGUGUAGGAUUCUUGAUUUCUGCCACUUACUGGAGAACUAGUGGAAAGCUUUAUACUGAUAUAUCUGCAAUAACUAAUGGAAACUAUGAUAUGAAUAUUUUCUCUCACCUGGGGAGCUGUGUAACAGAUAUACUUUGUGGCUCUGGAAUGCUGAAGAUUCUGCAAUAACUAAUGGAAAAUAUGAUAUGAAUAUUCUGUCUCACCUGGAGAACUUUGUUACAGAUACCCUUUGUGGCUCUGGAAUGUCUAAAGAAUGCUUCAGUUAGAUCAAAUAUCUUUUAGUUAGAAGAGAUAAAAUUCUCUGAGUCUGAAAGACUGAAACAUUUUGCAUAUUUUGUGAAAGGGAAAUAUCUGUUGAUACUAGCUCAUGCAUUGAGGUAAUAUCGAUGUUAAAGAAAAACAGCAAUGAUUUAUGAUAUAGAAUUGGGUUCACUUGCUUUAAAUGCUGGUCUGAUCAACCAUAUCAACCUGUAAUGAUUCUGCAGAAAUAUAUAUACGAGGAGAAAGUAGCUAAAUUUUUCUUUCAUUUAUGGGUUCGGUCUUUUUUCCCCUUAUUUUUCAGCUUGCCUUCUCCUGAAGUAUGUUAACAAUUGCAGAUAAUGAUGAAGAGGACAGCUUCCAGGCUCUCCUUAGAGCCGUGAUGGAAUAUAGGGGCACAAUGAAGGAAUAUUGUAAAGCUGUAGGUACUUUUUCUCCUGUCAUUUAUGUUUUCUUACACAUUUUGUAUAUGCCCUGAACAUGCACCUUUGUAUGUAUCAAUUGACUUUUAAAUUUUAAAAGCCAUAAAGUAAGAAUACGGUUCCUUGUCAGGCUACUGAUGCAUUCGCUCAGGGGGGUCAUGUUCGAGCAGGAAAAUUUCUAGAACAGGUAAGGUUUCCAUCUACAGCCAUCCAUUGACAGCAGAUACAUUUUCAUUCAGCAGACUCUGUUAGCAUUCAAGAUGCUGGCAGAUUCACUUGAUUCUUAUUAGCUUGUUUAGUGGCAAAGCCUAUAACCUGUAUUUCAAAGCCAAGUUGUGCUAUUGAUUAUGUUAACUUUUUUGUUAACAUAAAAUGAUAUGGAGGAAAUAAUCAGUGUUGGAAAAUUAGGUGAAAAGAUGAUGUCAAAUCUUGAACCUCUUACGAAACUCUAAGUUCUUUACUUGAAGAGGCUACCAAAUUUGAACAGCGUCUACUCGAAGGCCUUGCCAUUCCCUGAUGCAUGCAGAAUUUUUGUAUUUAAAUGCCCAGAGCUUAAGAAGCUGCCACUGGAUCUUGAAGGGGCAGACCAAGGUAAAAUUCUUAUCAAGGGAAAGGAAGAUUGGUGGAAACAACUUAAUGGGAGGAUCAAGUAAUUCAGAAUGCAUUGCUUCCAUUUUUUAAAUCGACUGACAAGUGAUUGAACGGGGCAUCAUCAACAUCAUCAACAGGGAUGGAGAGAUGACGGAGCAGAUCAGCAGGGUUUGAAUAUGACCUUUGGCGGUUGCCUUUUUUUUUUGUGAUUUUUUUUCAUUUUUUCCUUCCUGUCAUUUUAUCAUUUCUUUGGCUCUGUUUCUAUUGCGGGUGUUACUGCAUGCUUACUGUUGCUUGACAAAGUUUGCUAGCUUUUUGUUUGCAGUGCUGCUAUACACUCCGAGUCAAGCCCCGAAAAUUUAUUAAACGACGCCGUUUCGACAGUAACAAUUCUAUUCUUUUACCUUUGCCUGUCUCUUUCAUCUGCUGUUUCUCUAUCACUUUUCAUUUUUGAUUUCCUUGCUUCCCAGCUGCCCCUAAAUUGUUAUUCUAGCAAUAUACUUUCUCAUCUUUGAAUUUUCAUCCUUGAGUACUCCCACAGCCGUAAUUUCAUCAUUAUAGACUUCACUUGGAAUGCUGUAUUUUUUCGAUUCCUGAGCUACUUCAAUUACAUCUUAGUAUAGGAUCCUCAUCUUCCUUUAUUUCUUCAUCUUAUGAGGUAACAAAUGGAUUUCACAACUCAUCUACUUUUAAGCAAUUACAUAUUAUACCUCGAAUGAUUCAACUGUUCCGACAGUUAAAGAUUUUAUGCUCAACCUGCAGUGCUACGAACAUUGUCCAUGAAAGAUGAGUUUCAGCAUAUAAAAUGAAAUAUAGAUGUUUAAUCUAAAAUAACCCUUCACUGCCAGAAACCUAGGUCACAAAAUUCACAGAUAAUGAUAAAGAGCUAAAAAAUUUGAAAAACUCUACAGAUCACACAUCAAGCAAGAUAUCAUGUUUGUUUUCCCUCGUUCGGUGGUGAUUGAUUCGUUUUUUGAUGAUGGAUAUGGUAUAAAAGUUUUGACCCAAUUUCAAGCAAACACAAAUAGAAACGCACAAACACAAACACAAUCGGGACUAGAGUUGUGGGCGAUUAUCUCAGGUGUACAAGUGAAACGGUGGUGGCUGUCGAUGGUGGUAGUGGGGUGGUUGGGUAUGCGUGAUGGCUAGAUUUUAGGACAAUAAUGGUUGGAGUUGACCUCAAUCAACGAAGGAAAGUGACAACAAUUUUGACAUCAAACGGUGCAUUUUUUAAGAAGGCUGGACGGAGUGCAAGUGUGGGUUUCGAGGGUGGAUUCUGUUAAAACUGAAGCUGAUCAAUUUAUAAGAGACGGCUCUCGAGAAAUUGAAAAAUUAUGUGUUGGAGGCUACUGUUCCAAGAACUGCAGGUCAAGCUACAAUUUCGGAAAACAAGUGGCUAAAAAGCUACGAGAUGUGGAGACUUUAAUCGCCGAAGGAGUUUUUGAGGCGGUGGCUACCGAGGUGGUGGCUGACAGAGCUCCAGAGUCUGUAGCAGAUGAAAGACCUACUGAGCGAACAGUAGUAGGCUUGCAAUCACAACUUGAACAAGUCUGGAGAUGUCUUGUAGAAGAAUCAGCGGGAAUCAUUGGCCUAUAUGGUAUGGGCGGUGUUGGUAAAACUACACUACUGACCCAUAUCAACAAUAAAUUUCUCGAGAGUCCAACCAACUUUGAUUGUGUGAUUUGGGUUGUAGUUUCAAAAGACCUGCGACUCGAAAAAAUUCAAGAAGAUAUUGGGAAAAAGAUAGGUUUGGUUGGUGAUUCAUGGAAGAGUAAAAGUGUAGAGGAGAAAGCUGUCGACAUCUUCCGGAGUUUAAGAGAGAGAAGAUUUGUAUUGUUGUUAGAUGAUAUAUGGGAGCGGGUUGAUUUAACAAAGGUGGGCGUUCCACUUCCCGGACCAAAAAAUACUACCUCAAAAGUCGUAUUCACAACCCGUUUCAUCGAUGUUUGUGGUAGCAUGGAAGUUGACAGGAAGUUUCAAGUAGCAUGCUUAUCAGAAAAGGAUGCUUGGGAACUGUUUCGAGAAAAAGUUGGGGAAGAAACUCUUCAGAGUCAUCAUGAUAUCGUUGAGCUAGCCCAAAUUGUGGUCAAAGAGUGUGGUGGUUUGCCACUCGCACUUAUUACUAUUGGUCGAGCUAUGGCCUACAGAAAGAAAGCGGAGCAGUGGAGACGUGCAAUUGAAGAGUUAAGGAGAUCAGCUUCAGAGUUUGCAGGUUUGGGAAAAGAGGUGUAUCCUCUUUUAAAAUUCAGCUAUGAUAGUUUGCAGAAUGAUACGGUUAGAUCUUGUUUCUUGUACUGUUGUUUAUAUCCUGAAGAUUGGAAUCUCACAGCUUUGGUGCAGAAAACCAAGGAUACUACAUUGUGGGCACUCUUGUUCGUGCAUGUUUAUUAGAAGAGUUAGAAGAUGAUCAUGUAAAAAUGCAUGACGUUAUUCGUGAUAUGGCUCGAUGGAUAGCUUGUGAAAUUGAGAAGGAGAAGAGAAACUUUUUGGUUCGUGCAGGUGCUGGAUUAAAAGAGGCACCGGGCGUUAAAGGAUGGGAAAAUGUGAGAAGAUUGUCAUUGAUGCAAAACCAAAUUGAAACUCUGUCAGAGGUUCCCACAUGCCCUCAUCUUCUCACUUUAUUUCUUGACUUUAAUAGGGAGUUGAAGACUAUCGCGGAUGGCUUCUUCCGAUGUAUGCCUUCUCUCAAAGUUUUGAAGAUGUCACGCUGUGGGCAAUUCGAAGGUUUUCAGUUACCUAUUGGGAUGUCAGAGUUGGGUUCGUCACUAGAACUUCUUGAUAUUUCAUAUGCCAGCAUAACAGAGUUACCAGAAGAGUUAAAGUUGUUGGUAAAUCUGAAAUGUUUGAAUUUGAGGCGGACAAUUUGGUUAAAUAAAAUUUCACGGCAACUAAUAUCAAAUUCUUCAAGGUUACGUGUGUUGAGAAUGUUCGCUACUGGCUAUGAUCGUUUUCAUGAAGCAUCAGAAGACAGCGUUUUAUUUGGUGGGGGUGAAGUUUUGAUACAGGAAUUGCUCGGUUUGAAAUAUUUAGAGGUAUUGGAGUUGACCUUGGGAAGUUAUCAUGCUCUCCAAAUUCUUUUGAGCUCAAAUAAGUUAAAAAGUUGUAUUCGAUCUCUUUACCUCCAGUUGACCGGAGAUACAGCGUCAAUUAUUGAUGCUACGGCUUUCGCAGAUCUAAACUACCUCAAUGAAUUAUGUAUUGAUAAUGGUAUUGAGUUGGAAGAGUUGAAGAUUGAUUAUACGGAGAUAGUAAGAAAAAGGCGGGAACCUUUUGUUUUCCGCAGCCUUCACUGUGUUACUAUGAUUUCGUGCCGUAAAUUGAAAGAUUUGACAUUCCUCGUUUUUGCUUCAAACCUCAAGUCUCUUCGGCUACGCAAUUGCUAUGCUAUGGAAGAAAUAAUCAGCGUCGGAAAAUUUGCUGAGACUCCUGAGAUGAUGGGACAUAUAAGCCCUUUUGAAAAUCUCCAAAUGCUUGAUUUACAAGGUUUGCCACAUUUGAAGAGCAUCUUCUGGAAGCCAUUGCCUUUCACUCAUCUGAAAGAAAUGGAGGUACUUAGGUGCGAUCAGCUUGAAAAGCUUCCACUCGAUUCCAACAGGGCAAAGGAGCGUAAAUUUGUUAUUCGUGGAGAAGAAGACUGGUGGAACCGACUUCAAUGGGAGGAUGAAGCCACUCAAAUUGCUUUUCGUUCCUGUUUUAAAAGUGAUGCUUUAUUUAUAUCUUAUUCGUGAAAAGUGAUUUAAUUUCCUGCCAAAAGACGAACGAGAAGAACAAUAGAGUCAAACUAAUGCUCACAUAAAUUUCCCGUAAGAAUAUAUAAUUAGACUGGAAUGCACACCUCUAGAUUGAACAGAAUUAAAGCUGAGAAAAUAUUGAGUAUAGUAGCCCUCUUUACAGAAAAUGACGCGAAAGUUAAUUUAGAAAGAUAUAUUCUUGAUUAAUCCAUUUUCUGAAGUUUUUAUUUUGUAUGGUCAAUUAUACCUUCAUACUAAAAAUUCCUGAAGUUAUAAAUUAGUGCAACUUGACAAUUUUUACUGAUAAUAUCUUCUAUUUUUCCUUUUUUUUUUUUCACUUUCAUAGAAUGGCAGCGGAUCCUGCGGCACCAAUUUGAGAGAAUAUACUGACACUACUUCGAACAGCAAGCAGAAGAAGUAAUAUGUCUACGGCAAAGGCAAUGCAGUCCUCAUUUUGGCUUGAGAUGCAGUAAUCAUCGAAGAGAGUUUCCUUGUGAAACUGGGCAACACAUUGAAUCCCUUCGCCACUGAGAAGGUUGUGGAGGAAGUAAGCUUUCUCUCCAGUGAGGAAGAGGUGGCAUACCUUCCCCAUUUUGUCGAGGGCAGGUAGGAAUCUUUUUUCUAAGAGAUUUACUUCGUUCUCUGUAAGAAAUGCUUUGAACUUCAUCCCUCUGUCUCUAUCCUCACUUAUCAGGAAAUAAGUUGAAAGCACUAUGAAGAGAGAGAGAGAGAGAGAGAGAGAGAGAAUUAAGAUAUAUAGACAAGAAAAAUAUUAGACGUUGAUCUUACAAACUAAUACUUCAAGCAGUAUCCUAGAAAGCUAAAAACUGCAAGAUGGCUUGAAAUUUGAAAAGAGCACGUGCUUUUCCUCCUUAACUUGAGAAAAUGUUUAAUAUAGUGCACCUUACAGAAGCAUUUAAGCAAUUAGAACUUUGCACAAAAACAUCAAGAAGACUAAACAAAUCAGAUGCAGUGUAUUUGUCCAAGCACAAAUUGCAUUUUGUCCUCAACUUUAAUAUUUAUUGAUGAGAAUCAAUACAGGUCCCUCAUUUGUUAUAGAAAGCUUUCUUUCUUGUAGUCUCACCAGUUAAUUCACAGGUCUAUAAUCAUCUUGCAAAGUUAAGGGCAUUUCUUUCGAUCUAAAGUCUUUGGAUCACCACCUCAUCACACACCAAGCCAAUAUUCCAUUUACCUCUACAACAAAAAGUUUUAAGUAAACAAUCCUAAUGCACGCAGCCAAAUAAAAUGCAGUAAGAAUAUUCAACUUAAAAAUCUGAAAGCCAACUUGGUGAAUUGCCUCCUUAGGUGAAGUUCCAUGCUUUACUAUAGUUGACAGAACUCAGCAAAAGCUUCCAUACAACAGAUUUUGAAAAUGAUGAUGCCAAUAGAUACUCAUUCAAUCCAUUGAAAAUCCAAAGGUUCAUUGUUAAUAGAAGUUUACAGAGUUUUGGUCAUCAAAUAGCUCAGACCUAAUCCCAAACAAAAAACGAGUGAAAAUUAGAUCACGAGCAGCUAAUUGUAAAUUCUAACUUAACUCUUCAUCUCCUUUGUAAACAAGAAACAAAAUGGAGACACGCAAAAUGAAUAUGGAGAAAAUUUGAACUCAAAUGAAAUGAGGGCACGAAAGCAAACAAAUGGCAUGCACAAAAAAACCAAGCCUCAAUCAAAAACUAAUUAACCAUUAAGAAAAAAAUUGGUCAGAGAAUGAACUCCAAUUCAGGAGUCAAGCAAGAAGCUUUCAUUAUUUCAGAAGCUCCUGUACAAAUUAAUAAGUUAUGCUCUUUGGAAGCAAACCUAAAUUCCAAGAGAAACAGAACCCAAAAAAAUUUGUAAUUAUACGCAAAGGAAGUGAAGCACAGGAUUCUAUCACACAUAGGAAUUGUAUAACAAGAGAUCGAUAUAUCGAAUUAGAAAACUCAAUUCGAAUUUGUGUCAAAAAUCAAAAAUUUGCAAUUAUAGCGUUCUAUUUAGUGGUAAUGAAUUCUUGGUUUGGGAGUUGCUUAGUUUAAAACGUUUAAAUGUAUUAAGCAUCAUCUUGAAAAGUUUUUCUGCCGUCCAAAAACUUAUGAGCUUCCAAAAGUUGCAAAGCUGUACACAAUGCUUGGAGCUUGUAGACUGUGAUGAUCCAAAGUCAUUUGCCUUGGCAGAGUUGAAGCAUCUUGAAAAACUAGGUUUUUCGAGUUGUGGAAUAUUCAUGUAAGUGAAGUAACCGUCACAAUACUAGUGAAAUUGGGAGCUUUAUUCAUGAGUUUGUGGUUUUGAAAAGUACCACAGUUCAACUGGUGAAGGCUCCGUUUUGGGAUUCUUCUUUUUCCAGGCUGCAAUUAGGAUAUGUACAUGAUAGACAAUCUUUUGUUGGUUUAGCAUAUCUUCGCUGAUUUUGUCUUUUAUUCCCCAAUUUUAUAAUUACACACCAUGAAUGUUGGGUGAUUGUAUAGAAAAUUUGUGUUAUAACAAAAACAUUGUGAAGGAGUUUCUGUGCUAAUUGUUAGUGGCUUCUGUUUUAUUGGCAUUGAUUGGGUAGAUUACGUGUUACAGUGAUUCAAUUUGUGUUCCAAACUUUGCUUUAAUUUUCUGUUUUCCCCAACUAUUUAUGUCAAAUUUAAAUCCAGAAGCAUGUACUGAUUUUUUCUUUUUGUAUUAAUCUGUGAAGUUUAUUUGGAAUGGAAGUAACUGGGUCGGGUCUAAUGGAUUAAAUUAUGACAUUGAGGGGAAGGCACUAAAAGGGUUUGCUUGACACAUUUGGUUCUGUGUUUACUCUGCAAGAAAUAACUUUUGCUUAUUGCAAUGCAGGGGGAAAUCCCGAUUUGGCUGGUGAAUUUCUCUGCAACAAACAGGCAAACACCUCAACAUCUUCUGUCCAUACUUCUGCUGGGGAGGCAAGGGGUAAAGAGUCUUCAAAAUCAUCAAAUAGUUACAUCUCUGAGAAUUCAUUUUAUGGAAAUGGAAAAUCUAGAGCUUCUAAUACAAAAUGGCAUCUGGUAUCAGGACGUACCGUUUCAAGUUUUCUUGGUAAAGAUUAUGUUAAACCUGCACAGCCAGCUAAUGGCACUUUUCUGGCAUCAAAGCCAUUGAAGUUGGAUCCAAGGGAGUUUCGCAUUUCUGCACUUUCAGAGAAGAAACUAAACCGAAACAAUCAAAGGAUGACCAUUUGCAGAAGGAUAUGGAAGAUUUUCUGUUUAAAUUGCUAGGAGAAGGGUUCCAGCUGUACAGGGAUGUGAUUCAGGAGGUUCAUGGUAACGUCUUAAAUAUAUUGAUGCCAAUUUAAUACAUAUUGUCCUUUUCAAUGUUCUUUCUUUCUUUCUCCUCUUUUUAUUCUUCUUCUUCUUCUUUUUUCUUUUCGUGUGCAUGUGAUCACUAAUUUGGUAUUAUUCUUAACUUGCAGAUAGUUGUGGAUAUGAUAUGCAAAAAGGUAAGGACUAUAUCUUCUUGAUGAAGGCCUCUGAUUUUUUCCCUUCUAUGUAAUUUAGUAAAUCGCAUUUUCCUUUGUGAUUUUUUUUUUUUUUAAUACUGAUUAAUCAUCAUAUUACUGCAUUACACAGAUAUAUCAUACCAAAGCAAAUCGUAAUAUUCCACAAGAAAAAGCAAGAUCUUAAUGUUCCACAAAAGCGUUAUUUUUUUUUUUUGGUGACCCACGUGGAGCUCAAUUAUCAUUGUCUUUACUUUAAAAACGUUAUUUUAUUUUAUUUUAUUUUAUUACAAAUUAAUGCCAACAAGAAAAAGCAAGAUAUAAUAUUCCACAAAAGCAAAUCGUAAUAUUCCACAGAGGAAUAAGAUCCACAAAAGCAAACAACCAGCUGGAUUCUUUUAUUGAACUACAAAUUAAAGUGGAAUCUUUUAUUAAACAACAAAUUAAAGUUCAAAUAUUUAAAUAGUAGUGCGUUAGACGAUUAGGCUCUUUUAUUAAAGGCAAGUAUAAAGUAGUCCAGAAUCGAACAUCUCUAUUGUCUAGUCUUUUUUUUUUUUUUUAUUCUUCUUUUAUUAUUUUUGAGAAUAGGUUUUGGUGAUUACUAUUGGGUUAUUAUUCAGAGUUAUUGUUAUCUUCCGGGGCAGUUUCUGUUCAUCGAAAUCGUUAAUUAAAAUUUUAAAACUCUUAUCGGAAGAAUGUUUUUCCGUUAUUUUUUUAUAUUCUAAUUUCAAUUGUAAGAAGUAGUCAUUUUAGAAUUUGGGUCUUGAAUCGAAUUUCAAUGCAUGAAUUAAUAUUUUAAAAAAAAAUUACUACACGCAGUUUAGGUUACAAACUAUUUUUAAUUUGCAAAGUUGACUAUGAAAUUGGAGAAAUUAAGUAAUUUAUAAUGUUUGCAAAGGAAGAGACUAACAUACUUCCAAUUACACUAUAUCUCUAUUAUCAUAAUGUUAAGACUAAACUAACUUAAAAUAAAUUUUAUUUAAAAAGUUAUAUCAAACGCAGUCUAAUUUUAUUAACUUGAAGAGAUAAUAGUUAUAAAAAUUAUUGUUCUAACUUAAUUAGUACAAGUGGUAUAAAGGUUAAGUGUGCACUAAAUCUGUUUAAAUUUUUUUCAGUAUAACUAACAGAGGUCAUUACUAGAAUUAUAUUACUAGUCUAUUAGAUAGAAAAAAUUAUUUAUAUUAUUUUAUAUUUAUUAAAAAAUUUUAAAGUCAAUCUUUUUAAUUACUAUUUAAAGGAUAUUAUAAUUAAAAAAAAUUUAAUAUAUUUAUUAAAAAUUUAAAAAUUUACAUGACCGUUCUAUAAAUAUUUAAAGUGUAACUGUCAUUUUCUCAUAUAUAUAUAUAUAUAUAGAAACCACGGUGGUGAAGCUUUAUUUAAUAUUAAUGAUUUAAAUAAUAAUAUCUCAAUUAAAAAUGUAGAGAGAAGAAAUUUCGGUGGGUAUAUUAAUCUUUUACAAUUAUCAUGAUUAGCCCUUCCUCUUGUAACGUUGGUCAGAAAAGUUUUAAAAAUUAUUCCUUUUACUUUUAACGUUAGCGGCCUUCCUUAUAUUUUAUUACAAAUUCGUCCACAAAAGCAAAAGUGACAAAACAACCAACUGGAUUCUUUUAUUAAACUACAAUUUCAAAAGAUUUUAAAGUGAAUUCUUUUGAAUACAGGUGGGGUAGUCGAAUAGUCUUUUUCAAAUUCUUGUUUUAUUAUUUUUCAAAACUAGUUUUUGGUAAUUACAAUCGGGUCAUUCAUUAGUCAUUAUUCAGAGUUAUUGUUAUCUUCGGGGGCAGUGGGUAAAAGGCUAAAUGAUAAUUACUAACUGUUUUUCCUUCAAAAGUUAGUGGCUCGUGUUUUGCAAGUGUGAACGUGCGAUUCUCUUUGUCUAAAGGCAAUUACAGUGGGUCCCGAAUCGGACGUGCCUAAUAAAUCUUUUUAAAAUUUUCUAAUAAAUAUUCCUAAAAUUUCUCUUCCACAGGCAAUUACAGCAGCUUCAGUUAAUCAAACUCAAUCAAUUUUCUUUCUUAACAAAAUUCCAAAGAUGUUUGGCUGUUUUCAGAUCACAUGCGAUGGUGCUCUUUUCAAUCGUUGCUUGGAUUGCUUUCUUGGAAAAGCAGCAUACAUACGUAACCUCCAAGAUAAUCUUGAUGCCUUGGAGACUGAAUUGGGAAAUCUAAUCGCAGCAGAGAACGAUGUGAUGACGAGGGUUGUCAAUGCUGAACGGCAACAAAUGAUAAGGCUGGAAAGAGUGCAACGGUGGAUUUCGAGGGUGGAUGCUGUUAAAACUGGAGCCGAUGAACUUAUCACAGACGACUCUGAAGAAAUUGGCAAAUUAUGUGUUGGAGGCUACUGUUCCAAGAACUGCAGGUCAAGCUACAAAUUCGGAAAACAAGUGGCUAAAAAGCUACAAGAUGUGAAGACUUUAAUCGCCGAGGGAGUUUUUGAGGCGGUGGCCACUGAGGUGGUGCCCGAGAGAGCUCCGGAACCUGUAGCAGAUAAAAGACCCAUUGAGCCAACAAUAGUAGGCUUGCAAUCACAGCUUGAACAAGUUUGGAGAUGUCUUGUAGAAGAAUCAGUGGGAAUCAUUGGCCUAUAUGGUAUGGGCGGUGUUGGUAAAACCACACUAUUGACCCGUAUCAACAAUAAAUUUCUUGAGAGUCAAAACAACUUUGAUUGUGUGAUUUGGGUCGUAGUUUCAAAAGACCUGCGACUUGAAAAAAUUCAAGAAGAUAUUGGGAAGAAGAUAGGUCUAUCUGAUGAUUCAUGGAAGAAUAAAAGUUUUGAAGAGAAAGCUGUGGACAUCCUGCGGAGAUUAGGAGAGAAGAGAUUUGUAUUGUUGUUAGAUGAUUUAUGGGAGCGGGUUGAUUUAACAAAAGUGGGCGUUCCACUUCCCAGCGCACAAAAUACUACCUCAAAAGUCGUAUUCACAACCCGUUCCAUUGGUGUUUGUGGCAGCAUGAGAGCUAGGCCGGUUAAAGUGGCAUGCCUAUCAGAAAAGCAAGCUUGGGAACUGUUCCGCGAAAAUGUUGGGGAAGAAACUCUUGAGAGUGAUCAUGAGAUCGUUGAGCUAGCUCAAACUGUAGCCAAAGAGUGUGGUGGUUUGCCACUCGCACUUAUUACUAUUGGUCGAGCUAUGGCCAACAGAAAUACAGCUGAGGAGUGGAGACAUGCAAUUGAAGUGUUAAAAAGGUCGGCUUCGGAGUUUGAUAGUUUGCAGAAUGAGACGAUUAGAUCUUGUUUCUUGUAUUGUUGUUUAUAUCCUGAAGAUUAUGGCAUUCCUAAAUGGGACUUGAUUGAUUGUUGGAUUGGUGAGGGAUUUUUGGGGGAAUCUGACAGGAUUGGUGCAGAAAACCGAGGAUAUGACAUUGUGGGCACUCUUGUUCGUGCAUGUUUAUUAGAAGCGGUGGAAGAUGGUGAAGUAAAAAUGCAUGACGUUAUUCGUGAUAUGGCUAUAUGGAUAACUUGUGAAAUUGAGAAGGAGAAGAGAAACUUUUUGGUUCGUGCAGGUGCUGGAUUAAAAGAGGCACCGGGUGUUAAAGGAUGGG
rnacentral:lncRNA from 1 species